UUGAUUCAUUUUGUUUUCGGGCUUUCGCCCCUCAGAGAAAUACGAUUAAAUCAGGGUUUGGUUUUCCCCGGCGGACGCCCGGAGGCCCGGAGGCCACCGCGCGCUGAGCCCGCCGAGGGAACGUUUGGUAAGUUCACAAUGGGUUGGAGAGCCUAGGGCACUCUGGUAAUGAUCCCUCCGCUGGUUCACCAACGGAGA
rnacentral:misc_RNA from 1 species